AAUCGUUUGAUUGGCCAAGCAAACAUGGUGGCAACGAGAUGAAGAUAAGACGGAUAAACUCGUCGGCGCAGCCCAAAAAAGACAGACCGCGACAACAGCCAGCCACGAAGCUAGCUCGCCAUGGCCAUGUCCAUCCUCGGUGCUCUGAAGCUCGCCCCGUCCCCGGCGGCGACAGCGGCGCAGCCGGCGUGGCGCGCCCCCUCUUCGCUGCACUUCCACCUCGCCAACGCCGGCGCCGCCGCGCUGGUCGCCGCCUCGCUGCUCCUCGCCGACCCGGCCCUCGCGUUCAGGGGAGGCGGGCCGUACGGGCAGCAGGUGACGCGGGGGCAGGACCUCACCGGCAAGGACUUCAGCGGCCAGACGCUCAUCAAGCAGGACUUCAAGACCGUACCUACUCCAUCUCUUUCCAUCGAUUCCUACAAUAUGAUGUUAUCAUGCCUCAAAUUUGUUCUUGCAGUAAUUAUCAAAUAUCUAUUCUGCGGCAAACCAACUUCAAAGGCGCAAAUCUUCUCGGUGCAAGCUUCUUUGAUGCAGACCUUACAGGUGCAGAUCUCUCUGACGCUGAUCUUAGAAACGCUGACUUCUCGCUCGCAAAUGUUACAAAGGUAAAUUUGACAAAUGCCAACUUGGAAGGGGCACUUGUGACAGGGAACACCUCUUUCAAAGGUUCCAACAUAUACGGAGCAGAUUUUACGGAUGUUCCACUACGAGACGAUCAAAGGGACUACCUUUGCAAAAUUGCUGACGGGGUAAACACGACUACCGGAAAUGCCACAAAGGAGACUCUUUUCUGCAAAUAAUGUACAAGGGUGAAGAAGAAUGAAGAGACUAAAGAGUUCGGAGGCUGAUUUAGUUCUUGAAUAGUACGCCAAUUUUUUUUCUUUAACUUCCUUAUCCCCAGGGGUGCAGAGAGUUCUUCAAUACAAGAGUGUGAAAUGGUUGCUAGGAAAUCAAUGGGUGGUGUCAGCAUGCCAGGUGUGUUUGGGAAGGGCAAAAAUUAUUAGUAGUAAAUAAAAAAUAUGUUUUUUUUAAAGGAGGAUAUACCCCCGGCCUCUGCAUCUGGACGAUGCAUGCAGCCAUAUUAUUAAUUAUUCAUAAGGACCUUACAAUAAAAAAUAUGUUGGUCUGGUAA